CAAGUGAUAACGAGAGAUAAAAGGAAGAUUUUGUUUAUCGCAGCCACUGCAACCACAACAAACAAUGUUUUUGUUUUCAACUAGGUCAAGGUUUGUUUCUCUUUUCAUUCCCAAAAAGUUUCUUCCUUUUAAUUUCAUUCCUUCUUUUUGUUUCUCAGCUUCAACCCUAUUCCCUCAAUUCAAUAAUCCUCAUCUUGACAAUGCCAAUUCAUUGUUCAAUUCUUUGCUCCAUAACAAUCCUACCCCACCACCCAUUGAAUUUGGCAAGAUUUUAGGUUCCAUUGUGAAAGCUAAGCAUUACUCAAUCGCUAUUUCCCUUUCUCAACAAAUGGAACUAAGGGGAAUCAACCCUGACUUUGUAACUUGCAAUCUCUUAAUCAAUUGUUUAUGCCAAUUGGGUCAUAUAACUUUUGCUUUUUCUGUUUUCUCAAAGAUUCUCAAAAGGGGUUAUCACCCAAAUGCAAUAACUUUUACCACACUCAUCAAGGGUUUUUGUCUCAAAGGUGAGGUUCAUAAAGCAUUGCACUUUCAUGACAAGGUGGUAGCGCAAGGAUUUCGGUUGAAUCACGUUAGUUACGGGACUUUGAUCAACGGGUUAUGUAAAGUUGGAGAAACAAGAGCAGCUCUAGAGUUGCUGAGACGAGUUGAUGGGAAAUUGGUUCACCCAGAUGUGGUAAUGUACAACACGAUUAUUGAUAGUAUGUGCAAAGAUAAACUUGUUUCUGAUGCAUGUGAUUUAUAUUCUGAAAUGGUUGUCAAGAGAAUUUCUCCUGAUGUUGUCACUUACAAUGCACUAAUUAGUGGCUUUUGCAUAAUGGGUCAAUUAAAAGAAGCAAUUGCUUUGUUAAAAAAAAUGACAUUGGAAAACAUCAACCAGGAUGUGUAUACUUUUAAUAUAUUGCUUGAUGCUUUUUGUAAGGAAGGGAAGUUGAUAGAAGCUAAAAAUGUGUUUCUUGUGAUGAUGAAAAAUGACAUAAAGCCAAAUAUUGUUACUUACAACUGUUUAAUAGAUGGAUAUUGCCUCGUUAAUGAAGUGAACAGGGCUAAGAGAUUACUCAACAUUAUGGCCCAAAGGGGAGUGGCUCCUGACGUUAGGAGCUACAAUAUCAUGAUUAAUGGACUCUGUAAAAUUAAAAUGGUGGAUGAAGCCAUGAACCUCUUCAAAGAAAUGCAGUACAGAAAAGUUGUUCCUGAUGUUGUAACUUACAGUUCCCUCAUUGAUGGGUUGUGCAAAUCGGGGAGAAUUACAUAUGCUUUGGAGCUAUUUGGUGAGAUGCAUCAUACGGGCCAACCACCUGAUACAUAUACUUACAAUUCUAUAUUGGAUGCUUUAUGCAAAAGCAAUGAUGAUGAUAAGGCAGUUGCAUUAUUGAAAAAAUUUAAAGACUUGGGUAUUCAACCAAGUAUGUGCACGUAUAAUAUUCUUCUCAAUGGAUUGUGUAAAAGUGGACGAAUAAAGGAUUCCCAAAAGAUUUUUGAAGAUCUUUUGGUCAAAGGCUACAAUCUAGAUGUCUAUACAUAUACCAUUAUGAUACAAGGGUUUUGUAAGAAGGGCUUGUUGCACGAAGCGUUGGAUUUGUUUUCAAAAAUGAAAGACAAUGGCUGCAUUCCAGAUGCUUUAACUUAUGAAAUAGUUAUUCAUUCCCUCUUUGAAAAAUAUGAAAAUGAAAAAGCGGAGAAACUUCUUUGGGAAAUGAUUGUGAGAGGUCUUCUUUAAGACAGAAACUAGUUGCGCAUGAGAUGUGUCUAAGGGGUCUAAGGUGUAUUGAAGUGAAGAAAAACAAGUUAUAUUUUUGGGACACUUAUUUGAGGUGUCGUAUGAGUGUCAGAAUGAUGCAUGUCAGACACAACGAUUAAAUCUAACCUCAAAGAUGUUGCUAGUGGUUUGGAAGUUGCCACCAAGUGUCAAAUGAAAUGCUAAUAUAUUAUAUGUUGCGUCUGAAGUAGAGUGAGAGUGAAGCAUGUCAGCUAAAAACUCUGAUAACCCAUCUCAAAAAGUGAAGCCAAAGCUAAACGGAAUGUCUGUCCUUUAUUAAAAGACACAAAGUUCCUCACAUUCUCCAACAGGAAAUACCUCGGCCGGAAAUAAUCAGCAAAGGAUAAGAAUGCUAAUAUCAUCUCACACUGGACCUUACUCCAAGUGCUUGUGUUGAAUCUAUUCAUCCCAGAGAAACCCUGCAACAACAAAUUAUUCAAUCAUCACGGCAAAGUAUCAAUAUCAGAAAAAGUCAAACAAAGCCAAGAGUUACACAAACCUGGCAUGGAGGUCCUCCAUUAAUGAAAUCAACUUGGCCAGGCAACGGUAAAUUUCUUAAAUCCUUCUCAUCAAGUGAAGAGGCCAAUUCUGCAGCAUCAGUUGUUGAGAUGCAAUCAUCUAUGUCCCCACAUUUCUCCAUUAUAGCUCUGCAUUACAAUCAUUUAAGAGUCACUUAAAUGGGUUCCAAUCUAUUCAACCUUGUGGACUAGAAUCAGUGUUGUUAAAUAGCGACUAUAGCAAUGCAAUAGCGCUAUAGGAUAACAGAAUUUGAACAAAUCACUAGUGUUUUGCAAUACACUAUUUAGUACAACAUGUUGUCAAAUAGUGGCUUUAGAGGACUUUCCACAAUCUGUGAUUGACAACACUGACUGGAAUAUUUUCUCUGGGAUCAUUUACCUAA